GGGCACUGUGUUAACAAGAGACUGAAGGGGACAAGAGUAGAAACGGAUAACCAGUUUGGAGUCUACUGUAGCAAUUCUGGUAACAGAUGAUGACGUCGGCCAGUAACAGCAGAAGUGAAAAUAUGUGGUAGAUUAUGGGUAUAUUGUGAGGGUAAAUCUAUUUGAACUUUUUUAUGGUGUGAGAAGGAAAGAAGAAGCAUGGACGACUCUAAGAAAACUUGAUUUGAUAUGAGCUAAAAGGGGGAAGAAAAGUAAAAAGCAGAUACAGAUAUUUUGCCCUUUUGGAAACUGAAGAUAAAACAGAAAAAGAAAAGAAUUUUAAGAUAUGUUAAUCUAGCAAAACUAACAUAAGAAUGGCCACCGUGAAUUUCAUGAAAUUUUGCCACAGAGCAAUACUAAAAACUGAAUGAUUAUGCCUUUUUCCAUAUUUUAAUUAAAACUGAAAUGAAAAUACUCACUGUUGGAAAGUAAAGAAAUUAAG
rnacentral:lncRNA from 10 species